rnacentral:rRNA from 1 species
CAGUAGCCGCGGUAAUACAGAGGAUGCAAGCGUUAUCCGGAAUGAUUGGGCGUAAAGCGUGCGCAGGCGGUUGUGUAAGACAGGUGUGAAAUCCCCGGGCUUAACCUGGGAACUGCGCUUGUGACUGCACAGCUAGAGUAUGGCAGAGGGGGGUGGAAUUCCACGUGUAGCAGUGAAAUGCGUAGAGAUGUGGAGGAACACCGAUGGCGAAGGCAGCCCCCUGGGCCAAUACUGACGCUCAUGCACGAAAGCGUGGGGAGCAAACAGGAUUAGAUACCCCUGUAGUCCCUGUCUCUUAUAC